UUGGAGGGCAAGUCUGGUGCCAGCAGCCGCGGUAAUUCCAGCUCCAAUAGCGUAUAUUAAAGUUGUUGUGGUUAAAAAGCUCGUAGUUGAACCUUGGGCCUGGCUGGCCGGUCCGCCUCACCACGUGUACUGGUCCGGCCGGGCCUUUCCCUCUGUGGAACCCCAUGCCCUUCACUGGGUGUGGCGGGGAAACAGGACUUUUACUGUGAAAAAAUUAGAGUGCUCCAGGCAGGCCUAUGCUCGAAUACAUUAGCAUGGAAUAAUAGAAUAGGA
rnacentral:rRNA from 1 species